UCGAAAUUCCUCCAAGGAACCUCUGCGAGCUUUUCUUUUUUUUUUUUUUUUUUUUCAUCACGCGCGGGCUAAAAAUAGAAACGGGGUUGGAUCGUGAUCCAGAAAUAGAUAGGGGGCAUCACUCCUAUAAAAGGCACACCAUUCAAGAGUACAGUGUGAGCACAGUUUGAAGAAGCGAAAAAGCCAGAGCAUAUUUCAUGGAGGAAGUGGCUUUUUGUCCCUGUUUUCUGCUACUUUUCGUCUUUUUUAAAGGAGCCUCCGCUGCUUCAAUGGCCGACUACACAUCACCGACGCUGCGCUGGUAGACUGGAGCACUGACCAAACCAAAGUGGAAGAAGCAGGAUGAAUCCACAGAGUGAGUGGGGAAAACGGUAAAAGAGAAGUGAACAAGUUUCAUCCUUUUCAGCAGCAACUUCUGUUGACAUGCUCAUGCAGGAUGGAUAAUCUGUGUGUCAUCCUAUCAUUGUAAUAUAUUUCAAAUUGUCUUGUUCUUUAUCCUCUUCUUCUUCUUCUUCUUCUUUUUGAUCACUUUUUAUUAUAAGAAUGCAAAUAAAUUUUGUCUACACAUCAUUUACUUU